rnacentral:rRNA from 1 species
UACGUAGGGUGCGAGCGUUAAUCGGAAUUACUGGGCGUAAAGCGUGCGCAGGCGGUUUUGUAAGCCAGAUGUGAAAGCCCCGGGCUUAACCUGGGAAUGGCAUUUGGGACUGCAAGGCUUGAGUGCGGCAGAGGAGACUGGAAUUCCUGGUGUAGCAGUGAAAUGCGUAGAUAUCAGGAGGAACAUCCGUGGCGAAGGCGGCUCUCUGGUACGGUACUGACGCUGAGACGCGAAAGCGUGGGGAGCAAACAGG